rnacentral:rRNA from 1 species
UACGUAGGGUGCAAGCGUUGUCCCGGAAUUAUUGGGCGUAAAGAGCUCGUAGGCGGUCUGUCGCGUCGGCUGUGAAAACUCGGGGCUCAACCCCGAGCCUGCAGUCGAUACGGGCAGACUAGAGUGCUGUAGGGGAGACUGGAAUUCCUGGUGUAGCGGUGGAAUGCGCAGAUAUCAGGAGGAACACCGAUGGCGAAGGCAGAUCUCUGGGCCGUAACUGACCGCUGAGGAGCGAAAGCAUGGGAGCGAACAGG